AACUAUUUUAAUUUUUUAUUUUCAAAAAUUUUUCAAAAAUUUUCUUCACUAUGUAUUUUUUUUUUGAGAGAUAAAUAGCACGCUACCCACUUUGUUUAUUUCAUUUAAAAAUAAACUUAGCUAGAAAUGUAAAUCAACUAGGAUUCGAACUUGGAUCUCAGAUACCAACCACCAAGUCUUUUGCCACUUGCUCUAAGGACGGGCAGUCACUAUGUAUUAGAUUUGUCUUG
rnacentral:lncRNA from 1 species